rnacentral:rRNA from 1 species
CCUACGGGGGGCAGCAGUGAGGAAUAUUGGUCAAUGGGCGCGAGCCUGAACCAGCCAAGUAGCGUGAAGGAUGACUGCCCUACGGGUUGUAAACUUCUUUUGUCAGGGAGCAAUUGGCGCUACGUGUAGCGUUAUCGAGAGUACCUGAAGAAAAAGCAUCGGCUAACUCCGUGCCAGCAGCCGCGGUAAUACGGAGGAUGCGAGCGUUAUCCGGAUUUAUUGGGUUGAAAGGGUGCGUAGGCGGAAUGCCAAGUCAGCGGGAAAAUCGCGGGGCUCAACCUCGCUCCGCCGUUGAAACUGGCGUUCUUGAGUGGGCGAGAAGUAGGCGGAAUGCGUGGUGUAGCGGUGAAAUGCAUAGAUAUCACGCAGAACUCCGAUUGCGAAGGCAGCAUACCGGCGCCCAACUGACGCUGAAGCACGAAAGCGUGGGUAUCGAACAGGAUUAGAUACCCGAGUAGUC